CCACUUGGACAAUAUUUACUUAAGUAUUUCCCCCCACCUCACUCACACACAUGCUCCCCCACACUGGUUCCCUUAAAUAGUUCCAGUAGAAUUUUUUUUCCCUUAAGAAAGGAAAGAGAAAGUCCAACCACUACGGCAAUACUUUUAAGCUCUACUAAAUGACGGUAUCCUUUCUGGCUUCGAAACUUUUGUACCUAAAAAUCGAGAGAGGCGCUGCAUUUUUUCAGUUGAAACUGUCAAAACUUGGAGAAGGGGAACCUCGGAGGCAGGCAGGAGAGGAGAAUCCUGAAAACUCGGUGGAGGUUGGGAAGAUGCUGUGCCUCGAGGAUUAGUUUAAACAGGGGGCUAUAAAAGAUGUAACAGAUGCAAACUGUAACACAAGGGCCAUUAACCCUUUCUCUGCCGGGCACACUCAGUCCCCACGCCCCGCACCUAUUGUCUCCUGUGCUAGAAGCUUUGCAGAAAACCUGGAAAUUUUGGCCAGAAAUGGUGAGAAGAAAAAGCAUGAAGAAGCCGCGAAGUGUGGGGGAGAAAAAGGUGGAAGCGAAGAAACAGCUCCCGGAGCAAACUGUACAAAAACCUCGCCAAGAGUGUCGGGAGGCAGGACCGUUAUUCCUGCAGAGCAGGAGAGAGACGAGAGACCCUGAAACACGCGCCACCUAUCUUUGUGGGGAGGGAUAAUUGAAGCGCCCUGAGCGUGAGCAUCAUGUGAAAACGUGAUCGCCAAGUUUCUCUCUGGGAAAGGAUCUGGGAUAGAUUAUACCUUGAAGUCUCCGCAAACGCUUUAGUGGAAGAAAUGAAAUUCCACCUCCCUCCCUUCCUCCUCUCCCUCCCUUUCGCCUUCGCCUCCCUCCCCCUCCCUCCCUUCUCCCCCCACUCCACCCCCCCCUCCCCGCCCGUCAAGCCUUUGGCAUCAUUAUCCUCAUCACUAAAUCCUACAGAGUACAGGGCGGAAAACGGUGCACACCAUUCACAGAACUGGAGAACUCCAAGGGGCGAAAGUUAAAGGGAAAGAUCCCGGGUCCUCAAUCCAGAUAGUCUCUUCUUAUAUAGAUAUCUCUAAUGACCAGAUUUGAGAUGCACAUCAAAUUGUGUAGCUAUCUCAGUACAGCUUCUGGAACAAAAUUCUCUGCCCUUUCUCUUAUUAUUAUUAUUUUCUUUUUAGGUACCAGAGCCAGAAAAAAAAAAAUGCUACAUGGGAGCUGCAUCUUAGGGCAUGUGUAUUAGGGUGUGUGCAUGAUGAAUUUCUGGACUGGAUCCCAAUAUUAAAAAGUAGUUUGGCAUUUUAAUAAAGGGUCUCUAAGUAAAUUAACAUAGAA
rnacentral:antisense_RNA from 1 species